GGGUUGCCUCUAGUAGCCAUUUUGAGUAAAUAUUGAAUAUGAGUAUGUAUGAGUAAAUAGGCAUUAUGUGUAUGGGCAUGAUAACUUUAGCUAGGGCACAUUCCCCACCACCAGAGACCUUCCAAUCUGGAUCUGAGUUGCAUGUCCCCACACAGCCAAAAUAUGUCCCCCAGUGAUCUGACUUGUCUCGUUCAGAGGUCAACUGGAGGUGAUAUUCUAUAUGUAGCACAACAGCCUUUAGGGAAAUUUCCUAGAAAUGUACCUGCCCACUGGGUAUAGCGUAGCAGGUGUAAUUCCUGGGAUAUAUGGUAACACCUUCAGGCGGCCUAACAUUCCUGGUACUUAAGGGAUAUUCCUUUUUCCACCAGUCACAUGCUGACCAAUUAGUUUUCUGAUAAACAUAAAGACUCAAAAAACAAGUUUCCACUUCGGGGGGUAAGUCUAAAGGCACGGUACCCAAAUGGGGUCGUGCUCCUCCACAUACAUAACAAUUAGUUCUAUUAUGAGAGUUAGCAUUAUACCUCAUCCAUUC